UACGAAGGGGGCUAGCGUUGUUCGGAAUUACUGGGCGUAAAGCGUAUGUAGGCGGAUCGUUAAGUCGGGGGUGAAAUCCCGAGGCUCAACCUCGGAACUGCCUUCGAUACUGGAGAGCUUGAGUCCGGGAGAGGUGAGUGGAACUGCGAGUGUAGAGGUGAAAUUCGUAGAUAUUCGCAAGAACACCAGUGGCGAAGGCGGCUCACUGGCCCGGUACUGACGCUGAUGUGCGAAAGCGUGGGGAGCAAACAGG
rnacentral:rRNA from 1 species